UUUGUAAAUAUGAUAAUCAGGAAAGGCUGCCAACCGUUCAUGAAAAAUGUCGAGAUAUUCUAUAAAAGUACAAAUUUCGGCUGAUAGUUAAAAAAUUUUAAUAUAGUGAUUCCGUUUAUAGGAAAGGGAAAAAAUGUGAUAUAUGUUAUGUAAAAUGGCAGAAAAUGUUGUUUUUUUUAGAACCUUGGCCUAUGCACUUCUCAAAACUAAUGUUAAAUGCUUGAAAGAAUAUUUCAAUUACGCUGUAUUUAAUGUUGGCAAGCCUUGAUUUUUUAUAAGAGAAAGCGAAAGGAGAAAAAUUAUUCAAGCAAAAAAUGUAUCUAAUUAUGUACUUUUACCUUGCUUCAUUUUUUUCCAUUUACGAUAUCCAAGCAGCAAUUAAAUAGACCAGAAAUGGGAAAAUGUAGUUUAUU